rnacentral:rRNA from 1 species
UGGGGAUGACGUCAAGUCCUCAUGGCCCUUAUGGGUGGGCUUACACACGUCAUACAAUGGUCGGUACAGAGGGUUGCCAACCCGCGAGGGGGAGCUAAUCCCACAAAGCCGAUCGUAGUCCGGAUCGCAGUCUGCAACUCGACUGCGUGAAGUCGGAAUCGCUAGUAAUCGUGGAUCAGCAUGUCACGGUGAAUACGUUCCCGGGUCUU